rnacentral:rRNA from 1 species
GACGGAAGGUGCAAGCGUUGCUCGGAAUCACUGGGCGUAAAGGGUGCGUAGGCGGCCGCGCAAGUCUGGCGUGAAAGCCCCGGGCUCAGCCCGGGAAGGGCGCUCGAAACGGCGCGGCUCGAGUGCCGGAGAGGGAUGCGGAAUUCCAGGUGUAGCGGUGAAAUGCGUAGAUAUCUGGAGGAACACCGGUGGCGAAGGCGGCAUCCUGGACCGAGAUUGACGCUGAGGCGCGAAAGCCAGGGGAGCAAACGGG